CGAUGUGUGAUGGCGUUUCCUUGGACGAGAUGAUGAUUUUGGCGAGAAAAAUAUUGCGUUCUAACCUUCAGGUUCCUAAAUAUGAAAAGUAAUGUUCUUUCAAGAAAGUCAACGAGGUCCCUUAUCCCUUGUUUGCUAAUCCAAUGGCUGCUACCCUUGAAUCUCCCUAUUUAGCUCCUUACACAGUCCCUCUUGGUUUGAGGGUAAUCCUUCGCUACUGAUCAUGGACUCCAUUGGUGAAACCGAAAACCGACGAGAG